rnacentral:rRNA from 1 species
GAUGAACGCUGGCGGCGUGCCUAAUACAUGCAAGUCGAGCGAACAGACGAGGAGCUUGCUCCUCUGACGUUAGCGGCGGACGGGUGAGUAACACGUGGAUAACCUACCUAUAAGACUGGGAUAACUUCGGGAAACCGGAGCUAAUACCGGAUAAUAUAUUGAACCGCAUGGUUCAAUAGUGAAAGACGGUUUUGCUGUCACUUAUAGAUGGAUCCGCGCCGCAUUAGCUAGUUGGUAAGGUAACGGCUUACCAAGGCAACGAUGCGUAGCCGACCUGAGAGGGUGAUCGGCCACACUGGAACUGAGACACGGUCCAGACUCCUACGGGAGGCAGCAGUAGGGAAUCUUCCGCAAUGGGCGAAAGCCUGACGGAGCAACGCCGCGUGAGUGAUGAAGGUCUUCGAUCGUAAAACUCUGUUAUUAGGGAAGAACAAAUGUGUAAGUAACUAUGCACGUCUUGACGGUACCUAAUCAGAAAGCCACGGCUAACUACGUG